AUUCACUAUGCUCCCUAAAUUCAUUUAUAUGGUAUUAUUGGGAGCUGAGAAUGGUUUUGUCUGAAAGAAUAGCUUAGCCAGAGUAGCUUAGAUUCUAGACCAGAUCUAAAAGUAAUCUUACUUUUACAGAUAAUGAGUUCUUUUCAUUGUUCAUUUGCUUGUUUUCAGUGUAGCUCUCUGUAUCCGACAAAAUGGCGCAUAAUCAUCUGUGAAAAUUGGAGGUGAUGAUACAUCUAACAGACAAAAUAAAUUACUGUGACAAGAAAAAGCCCAGGUUUACUGAAGAAUCAAGCAAACUCUUAUCCAAUAACACUCAGAGUGUGCUCCUCUUACUUAUAAAAAAAAUAGUGAACUGUAAAACAGCCUCAGGCAUGUCCUUCAGGAGGAUUCCAGAAUAAGGCAUUGUUAUCAUAGGAGAUGACAGUUCCAUGCAUGUUAUUGCCCCUGAAGACUUUCCAGUGGGACAAGAUGUGGAGAUGAAGACAGUGAUACUGAUGGUCCUGACCCUGUGUAGGCCUUGGCACUCUCUUUAGGUCUGCAUGCUUCUCAAAUUGAGCUGUAACACUCACUGCUGCGGUCCAAGCCUUCAUUCUUUGAAGCCCGUGGAACCACAAACUCUUCAAUUGAUAAAAACCUUCGAUCGGAAGAGACUUCUCAUCUCAUUUCUGGGGGCCUGUCCGGGAUUUCUCUGAAGUGAAUAGAAUCCAUGAAACUGCAAGUGGUUCUACAAAUGGAGCCCCAAAUGACCACCACUAGCACCUACUAUCGAGGACCCCUAGACUGACCUACCAACCUGUUCUAACACCACGACACUGAAGAAGACUCCCCUCCUGAGGAACCCUCAACUGCAGAUCCCCUUCUGUGCCCCAGUUCAGCAGGAAGUAGCUAGAAUGAUCAUUGCCCAACUUCUCAACAGCACUUGGGCUUUCCUGUUGAGAGGGGGUACUGAGGCACUAAGUGGCUAAGUUAGCUAGACUUCCUGGGUCAACAGGGACUUCCCUAAGGGGACAUUCCUCUAAGCCAAAAUGAGUCAUAGCUGCAAGCUAAGGGAUUGAAACUUCAACCAAUCAAAGGGGACUUUCUCCUAAGCAAAAAUGAGUCACUGCUGCAAACUAAGUGAUUGAAACUUCACCCAAUCAUAUAGGGAGUUUAAGCUUUAGCUGCAGCCUGAUGUUUUUAACCAAUCAGGCCUGCCAACCCACAAGCAGAUAGAAAAUAAGCUAAUCCUAUGGGACAGAAAAAGGAAAAGGGGAGGAGUCAUAAGAGGAUAUAAGCAUAAGACACCCAAGCCAGAAACGGAAACCCUUCCGGGUCUCCUUCCACCACGUGGAAGCUUUACUUUUGCUUUUACUUUACUUUCACUUUAAUAAACCUUGGCGCUGCACACUC
rnacentral:lncRNA from 1 species